UGAUCAUCAGACUUCUAUCUAGACCUGGAAGAUGCUUCCAGGGAAAAGCUGGCUCUUCACUGAGCCACCUUCAUUGCCACUGUUCAUUUUGGAAUCAAUUAGAUUUUUUUUUUCAAUUACACUUCAAGAAGAACUGAUUUCACCACCUGGGUUACAGGCUUAAGCAACUGAAAUCUUAUUGGAUUAUUUUAUAAUCCAGAAGAGCAUGUAGACUCAUCUUUUCAGUAAUGUUGUCAGUGAAGAAGCGGAAACUUCAGGAAAGGUUCUCUUAGGGUGUAAAAGAAGGAGCCAGCUGCAGUGGGACCAAGUCUAUAUGAUGGGCAAGAAGCAAGACCGUAUUUCUGUUUCUAAAUUUAAGCCUGG